GUGCUCGCUUCGGCAGCACAUACACUAAAAUUGGAACAAUACAAAGAUUAGCAUGGCCCCUUCGCAAGGAUGACACUCAAAUUCCCGAAGUGUUCCAUAUUUUU
ensembl:snRNA U6 U6 spliceosomal RNA